AGAAGUGGCUCUUAAUUAGUUACUCAAUUAAUAGUGACCUAGAACAAAAUUUUAAAUGCUCUCCCCACAUGGAAGAUGGUUUUUGAAAAUUUCGCGUUACGCUACAUUUGAAUGAACCCCUAAUUGUCUUCGUUUUCGCAAGUCUAUGAAAUCAACAGUAUCUAUAGUGCAUACAUGUCUUCAUGUGUAAAUGUAUAUGUGUUAUGUACACAUCAUAAAUGAAACACACGUAUUCACGCAAAAUAUAAAUAAACCUGACUUGUCGGCAAAGUUAGAUUUUUCAAACGUAAACAACGUCCGCAGUAGCGAAGACAAAUCCACGAUGCUUCCAUCGCAAAUUUUAUCCCGUUCGAGAUACGUAACACGUUUGGCAACAGCCAAUUUUUGCUCGGAUACUUUGACGGUUCAACAUGACCGUCGAAACUCCGAGUUUUCGGUGCAUUUACAUGACAGCAAGGCAUUCGUAAGUUAUACAUACGACCAGAAGAGCAACAAAAUAUCCAUCGAUCACACCGAAGUGCCUUCUGUCUUCCAAGGAAAAGGCGUCGGCAAGAAACUGGUAGAAGCUGCUCUUCAACACGCGAUCAAAGAGAACAUCAAAGUUACAUUUGUUUGUGAAUUUGCUCAGAAGUACUAUAAUGAUAACAAACAUCGCUUUAAUAACUUUGUUUAGAAAUAGGUAUUUUUAAUGUUAGUUCAAAUCAUUGUUUUAAAUAAAAACAUGAAUUGUUUUCCAGCUUUGUAGAUGAACAGCUAAACAUUUGACAAAUUGAAUAACAUAUAUUGGUCUUUUUUUUUUUUUUUUGUUUUUCAAAUCAUGUAAAAUAAAUAACUUUUUCAGAUCUGCGUUAUAGAAUAUUGAUCAUUGAUAACGUUACUACACAUAGGGAAGUAGGAUCUUCUCGUCAAAGCUCCCGUUCACUACAACUCAGUCGAUUUUCAAUCAAAUGACUUAUGUUUUUGCAUGCCAUCAUGAGAUACAUAUAGUAUCAAGCCGUGUCCAAAUUUAAAUCUAUUGGUUUUAAUUUGAUUAAGUUAUGGUGGAAAAGUGCCCAAAAUAACAGCCACUGCUCAAAUGGUUCGUCACUUUACUUAGUCCGUCUCUCUGUGCCUGCUAGACGAUUAGUUUAGACGAAGCUGAGGACGAUUAGAUGCUGAGGAGCUUGCUUCAUCCUAGUUGGGACGUUACGCCAAAGAGGAGAAAAAGAAGAUCAUUCUAGAAUUCGUUUACACUUUGAUCAUAGUAGUAAUUUGGACGUGUAUAUAAAUAAGACUGGAACAAUGCAUUUUAAUAAAACGAACUCAUCAAUUUCAA